rnacentral:tRNA from 1 species
GGCCUCGUAGCUUAGCUGGUAGAGCAUGUACGCAUAAUGCGUAGGCGGCGUCCAUGCGUGGGUUCAAAUCCCACCGAGGCUA